AAGAAGAAGAAGAAGAUAUGCUGAAAAAAUUCAGGCAGGCUGUUGGAAAGAACGCUGUCGUCAAGUCUGGCUUUUCUCCUAAAAACUCUCUCUGUGGGCCACUGGAUCUAUUUACAGAUGCAGCACAAACUCCAUGUCUGAUCAUUACAAUAGGAUUUCUCAGAACCCAGCCUGCUGGGCAAGGAAAGUACCAGGCCUCCCUGGGAAGUACUUUCACAGACCUACCUGGAUCAUCCAGGAAACACCUGGAAAGAGCCCCAACCCUGAAAGGAAAAUUUAUGGCUGUUUUUCCAUGAGGGCAUUUGAGAAAUGAACUGUGUCUUUGAUAAGCCAAUGCCAAACGAUGCACUGUGUGGAGGCCACGAGGCCAGAGGACUGUUUGCAUGGUGUGCACAGCACCAAGCAAUAAGCUUCGGGCUUCACCUAAGGCACCAGCAAUUGCCCCCUUCAUUCACUCAUUCAUCCAGUCACUUGCGGCCCAUCUGAAACACAGUGACAAGACUUUUCACAGUGCCCUUCACCUGAAGUCCAAUGUCUUCAACCUGUUUAACUUUUAAACUCUUCCUGAGCCAUGCUCUCAACCUCCAUUCUUCGCAAAUGCCACCUAAGGAGCUGUUAUUUAGGUACCAUCUUGGCAAGCCCUGUGGUCAGUGAUCAGAAUUCCCUUGAGUCAAUGGUGCUGCUUCAUUUGACAGAGUCGACUGGUUGCUUCUGAAAAUACUCCAGCUUUCAAAGGCCAUCUAUACACUGAUGCUUCGCUCACUCCUGUCUCCGAAUCUGCCUUCUUUUCUCUUGAGUUCCAGGUAAGUCAAUCAAUGUCACCCUUCACUUCACUUGGAAUCUUCAACAGGAUGUGUCCAGACAGAACUCUUACUUCCCCAUGACUCCAAACCCUUUCUCUGGCAAUUUUUUCUACCUACACUUCCACCCACCGUCACCAGACCCCAAAUCCUAAAAGUCACUCUUACUUUUAUCACGCGGCCACGAUCCCUUUAUGUCCAGAACAUAUGUGGAGUCCAAUUUUUCUCAAUGUCUUCCCCUCCCUGCUCUGUUCAAGCUACCAUCCUCUCUCCUGGGUUCCCUCCCACAAUAUCUUCUUCUCUCAACCCCACCAGCCUACUGUUUUCACGGACAGAGUACCAUAAAAGUAUAAAUCAGAUCUGAUUACCCAAGAUGCCACCCUAAUGACAUCCCACUGCCAUCCAAAUCAAGCUCAGAUUCCCUAGCUUGACCUACUGCACAUCUGCCUUUGCUCACCUCUGACCUCGGACGUCCGGCACUGAUUGCCCAUCACACCUCCUGCUCUCUUUAUAAUUUAGCUUCUCGGUCCUCCUUUCCAUCCUUCGCCUUUCCAGCUUAUUUCUUCCUAAAGCCUUUCAAUUGCUUUGCUUCUUCCAGGAAAGUUGGAUCUCUCAAUCUGUGCCUCAUACUUUCGAACUACGUUAAAAUCAAAUGAAGAAUUAAAUAUAAAUCCAGGUAGAUUUCCAGGACCAAGGAUGUCAGAAUCUCUGAAGGAGUGGGCUGAGGAUAUAUAUUUUCAAACUCCUCACAUAAUACAAUGAAUAGGCAACAAUGUGGAGAAUACUUUGCCCCAAACCUACACAGGGACGUUCUGUUAUCAAGGCUCUGAGCCCCGUCAUCUCUUGGGAGGUGGUUUCUCUGGCCACCUGUGCGAAGGGCUUCCCCUGUUCUCUGAUGACCCCUGACCUGGAACCCAUUUCCCUGUGUUCCCUUAUAGCACAUAUCAUUACUCAAGAUGUUCUUACGUGACUCCUUGCUGACUGGCUACCUUCCCUUCUGAGAACAAUGAUGAGGACUGGGUCUCCAUCUGCUUACUGCUCGUUCCGGAUGCUCACCACUCGGUCCACCGGUCAAAACUCUAUCACAUAACCUGCCACAUUGCCGGGGGCUGGGAAAUUUAGGGUAGCUGUGAUCCCAGGAGAAGACCCAAGCUGGACGCUCACUCAGCAGUGUUGCUGCACAGCAUGGGAAGGGUACGGUUUUUCAAGCAUCCAAGGAAAGAGUUCCUAAUUUCAAUUCCCCAGAGACAGUGACAUCUAAGGAGGGCCCUCGGAGUUCAUAAGAGGGAAAGAGGAGAAUGAGGGAAGGAUAACAUUUCUAAGGAGAAACUCCAUCUCGUUUCACGGUACCUAAGGAUCUGAUGAUGACAAGACAGCACACUCCCAAAAUUGAAAAUAAUUUCAGUGUGACUAGGGGAACAGAGGAAUGAAGGCUGGGGAGUCUCACUGAAAGACAAGGCUGGAGAGAAGUAAGAACUGCCUUGUAAUCCAGGAGAAAAACUUCAUGCUUUCGCCUGAGAUUCUUUGGGAGAAGGGGAGAGAGGCGUGGUUUGAUGUGCAUACGAUAAAAUUCAUUUGGCUAAAGCAUGGUUGUAGGGGGUGUGAGGGGUGACAGGAAGGCAGUAUUUGAGGCCUGGGAGACCGGUUACAAAUGGCAGUUAAUCUGGGAGACAGUUACGUGAUCUAAUUUUUAAAUGCCAGAGAGAGAGAAUCAAACACCGUGCCCACCUACUUGACAGAUUAUUCUGUGUAAUUAAUUUCUGAAAAUUGCAUUAGCUGGUGGAUGACUCCCAGAGCAUCAGCCAAGGGCUCCAUGGCCCUGAGUGGGUCACACUUGAGAUGAGGGCGCCUGUCGUUCUGCUCUGAAGAGACGUCUGCUUAUCUCACCACUUUCACUGUGGACGGAUGGCACAGGUGGUAAAGGAGGAAAACCCAGACUCAAACUAGCUUCAGCAAAGCGGGACAUUGACUGGUUCAUAUAACCAAACUCUGGCUUUAGAGCCCUCUCGCCUCUGCGAUCGUUCUGGCUUUGCGGGUGGGCCUCCUUCUUAUGUGCUCGUCUGCCUCAUUUCCUCUGUCUCCACUCUUUACGUUCCAGCCCGGCCACACCACCAAGGAUUUCACGCAGUGAAUGCCAAGGGCACCCGCAUUUCCUAGCCUUUGGACAUGUAGGACCCGGAGCCUGCCAGAUGUGUUUCCGUUACAAUGUCCUGCUCCAGGCAACUCCCACCUGCUUCAAGGAACAUCCCACUCCCUUUCUGAUGGUCCAUCAUCUGGUCCAUCCCCUACCACAUUCCAGGAAGCUCAGGGAGUUUAAGCAGCUCAUCCGUGGGCACACAGAUGAGAAGCAGUAGAUGAUGCACCUGGAAUUUAGACCUAGGUGCAUCUCUCAGUCAGAGGUCACCCCUCAUCUGGCUCGGCCGCAUCCGCACCCAGCUCAUCUCCUUCCACUCUCCCAGCACCAGCUUGCCUUGCCACGGCCUCAUCUGCCUUCUCCCCAUUUCCUGAACGGCCAGCUCAGAGCCUUCAUGCCCCAGAGUCUUGCCUGCACAGGAUGUUUCUCGGUCCCGGGGCCUCAGGUCAAAGUCACUUUCGCUGGGAGAUUACCGGAGCUCUGCAUAAAAACAGCCAGCCCCACUCUCACUCUCACCCUGUUCCCAUACUUUCUCUCUGAAUUCCUGAGGCUCUGUUCUCGGGGACAUUCUCCCUCUCUUAACAGACGUCCACACCAACAGGGCAGGGGGAUGGCAGAUUUUAAGAGGGAAAAUUUAAGCUGAUCUUACAGACUUAAGAAUGGCAGUUUUGCAACCAGUAAGCUAUUAAAGAUGUUUUUGUUUGUUUGUUUGUUUAAUGGGCAUACUUUAAGAACGCUGAUAAUGUUCUGGUGUCUUGUUGGGGAAAAUGUUUGCAAACUUGCUUCCUAUAAGUUAAGUUAUAAAUGUGACAGCCUCUGAGAUUUUCUCACAUUUUAAGUCUGUUGCCUUUUAACUUCCUUGACCUUCAGCUAAACGGUAGGCUAGGUUAAGACACUGAGGUCUAUCCACUCUCUACACCCUGUAUAAGAACCGAAGAAGAAAAAAGAGAAGUGUCUAAGCGGUAAGGAAGGGCAGAAAGAUGAAACCGGAAACUGCAGACGGAAUCAAAAGGAUCGUUUCGUUAAUCAGAAGUUGCAUCCAAAUGAAUGUAACCCAACCUUUUGAUUCGCAUGUGGAAUUCUAGGUUGUCCAGGCUGUUCCUACUACUGCCUGGUUGAAUACUUUAGGCCAAAGUUAGUUGUCCAGUGAGACUAUGUGAUAAGAAGAGAAGGAAAAAAAAGCCAUUGUAACAGCCACUUUUUUUUUUUUUCAAAAUAGAAAUAAUUUUUAAAUCAGGAAAAAAAAAAUCAAAUCAAGUGAGAGAAUGAGCAGGGAUUUCACCAGCCUCUCCCACUGCUCUUCCUCUGGUCUCUGGCACUCAGAAAGCAAGCAGUAAACGUUUGUUGAAUGAAUAAACGAGUACUAUUUGCCUCUGGAGGAAUGAUCGGCUCUCUUCCAGGAAUUCAGCAUUAGUGAUUUGGGCAGAGGCAUGACCACUGUCAUCACAGGAGGACAGGUACCCCUGAGACAUGGUGGGGAGAAGCCAGGUAGAAGGGACAGUUUUCUGCGUGUGGAAGUGAGGGGGCAUCCAUCGCUUUCUCCUCCGAAUCUUUUGAUUACCCAUCAGGGCGGAGCUGAACUUUGUGGUGCUUCAGUCGAGAGGCCGUAGCAAAGCAGGCCUGGGUGCGUGCACAGGGCCGGGCAGCUCUUUUCUAUAAUUUUCUUCUCCCAGUUUCUGAGCAAUCUAAACAGAACUAAUUCCAACGUCCCAGUUUUCACUGCCAGCCAAACAAAAGCAGCAUUGGAGCCCAGCGAUGCGGUCAUGCCACCCACGCCCCCUCUGCCGGGGUCUGAGCUGGGGCUGCUGUCAUCAAUAGCCUCCUUGUUGGCCACCUCGGCCCCCGGGGGGUGACCAGCGGGACGCUCUCAUCUCAAUGGGCUCCCUCUCUGCCGUGGCUCCUCGUUUCGGCGGAUAGUCCCAAGGAUAUAGACUGCGUUACAGUUAGUCAUCAUGUCCCCAAGUCCCUGAAACUUAUUUGCCACAUGGAGUCGACUGGCCUUUGUGAUGGGGACAAAGAGAGGCUUGUUGGACGCUGCACACAAAAGGCAAACACAAUGUAUGGAUUUCUGAAUAAGACACAGGCGGGGGAAGAGCAGCGGCCACACAAAUGGCCACGUUACGGAGCAGACAGAGCGCCUUUCCCCCAGACUCUGCCCAGUUCUUCCAUGAAUGUCUCUGACCUGGGUCUUUAAGAUUUUUCCAGCAGUUAGGAGACAGCUGAGCCAGGCAGGCAGCCUGAUGGAGUCCAAAUGACUGACUCCCGCAUGAAUCUUCCUGAGAGACGUGUGUGCUCCUGGAGCCCGGCUUACACAUUCCCUAAGGGGCCGUACAGCGACGCCUGAGCUCUGAGAAUGUGUGUCCAAGGAUGCGUGAGUGUGCACGUGUGGGUGUCUGUGUGUCUGCAUCUCUGGACGUGUGCAGGUGUGAGCAUUCCCACAAAUGAGUGUACAUGUGUGAGCAUGUGCAUGUCACUGUGGGUGGUGUGUGUGUGUGAGGGUGCACGUGUGAAUGUGUGUCUAUGCACUGGGAUGUGGGGGAAACCAGAAUGUACAUGUGAGCGUGGCAUGAUGAGUGUGUGUGUCUCCGAGUCUUGUAUGUGAGUGUGUGUGUGUGUGAGAGAGAGAGAGACAGAAAGAAUAUGAAUGUGGGUAAGAGUGUACAAGGGUAUCCUGUGAGAUGAUUGUGAGUGUGUGUAUGUGUGGGAGCAGCCAAGAAAGAGAGAGUGUGAGUGUGUGAGUGUGUGUGUGCGCACGCUGCCUGAGAGGUCAGGUCACCACGGCCACACCCUCCCAGGAGAGACACCAGCCCCAAGCCACCAAGCCUGCCAGAUCCCCUCCCCAUUCCGACAGCCUCACUGCCACGCUGUGUCCCCAUGGACGGGCUGCAGGAACGGGCAGGACCACAGGCUAUCACAGGAAGGGUCUGCAGAACCUCGGUGGCUUUGGUGACUGCCAGGGCCUGUGAGCUCUGAUGGGCCCAAACCAGUGCCUUUUCACAUGUGACAACCACUUCAUCUCCCUGGAGAAUGUCAUCAGCCGGUUCUGCAGGUUUUCCAGACCCUUCCAGCUCCUUUACAAGUUCUACAGAAAGUGUUUAAACAGACCCCAUCCUCGACGAGAACAGGAGGCUGCGGGCUCAGAAACUAGACAAUCCUCUGGCUGCUUCCACGUUUUUACUGGCAUACCUGUCCACCAGCCCAGGUGGACUCCUCUGCCUCCUCCCUCCCGCCCCCC
rnacentral:lncRNA from 1 species